rnacentral:rRNA from 1 species
AUUGAACGCUGGCGGCAUGCCUUACACAUGCAAGUCGAACGGUAACAGGUCUUCGGAUGCUGACGAGUGGCGAACGGGUGAGUAAUACAUCGGAACGUGCCUAGUAGUGGGGGAUAACUACUCGAAAGAGUGGCUAAUACCGCAUGAGAUCUACGGAUGAAAGCAGGGGAUCGCAAGACCUUGUGCUACUAGAGCGGCCGAUGGCAGAUUAGGUAGUUGGUGGGAUAAAAGCUUACCAAGCCGACGAUCUGUAGCUGGUCUGAGAGGACGAUCAGGCACACCGGGACUGAGACACGGCCCAGACUCCUACGGGAGGCAGCAGUGGGGAAUUUUGGACAAUGGGCGCAAGCCUGAUCCAGCAAUGCCGCGUGCAGGAUGAAGGCCUUCGGGUUGUAAACUGCUUUUGUACGGAACGAAAAGCCCUGGGUUAAUACCCUGGGGUCAUGACGGUACCGUAAGAAUAAGCACCGGCUAACUACGUGCCAGCCGCCGCUGUAAAAC